UGAACGCUGGCGGCGUGCCUAAUACAUGCAAGUCGAGCGAACGGACGAGAAGCUUGCUUCUCUGAUGUUAGCGGCGGACGGGUGAGUAACACGUGGAUAACCUACCUAUAAGACUGGGAUAACUUCGGGAAACCGGAGCUAAUACCGGAUGAUAUUUUGAACCGCAUGGUUCAAAAGUGAAAGACGGUCUUGCUGUCACUUAUGGAUGGAUCCGCGCUGCAUUAGCUAGUUGGUAAGGUAACGGCUUACCAAGGCAACGAUGCAUAGCCGACCUGAGAGGGUGAUCGGCCACACUGGAACUGAGACACGGUCCAGACUCCUACGGGAGGCAGCAGUAGGGAAUCUUCCGCAAUGGGCGAAAGCCUGACGGAGCAACGCCGCGUGAGUGAUGAAGGUCUUCGGAUCGUAAAACUCUGUUAUUAGGGAAGAACAUAUGUGUAAGUAACUGUGCACAUCUUGACGGUACCUAAUCAGAAAGCCACGGCUAACUACGUG
rnacentral:rRNA from 1 species